CAUUCAGUUUAUAUGGCAGUGAAACAAGUUGUAAUACACAGCUGCUGUCAAUUGGUAUUUCCUGAGAUCACCUUAUAUAAAGUUUCAGAGGUCUGCAAUAGGUACGCUGCAGUUUUCAGAUGGCACACAACACCACUAUGACCGCAGCGAGAUGUACUUAUUUCGCGUUCUCAGGGAACCCUAAAAAGCCGGCUAACUGCACAUCAAUUACUGUUACACGGUUCAAAUCAUUGUUAGUUACUGUUGUGUUUUUAAUGUAGGUAUAAACCAUGAAGAUUCUCUGAAAAAUAUAGCAUGUGGCUUGAAUCACUGAGCGUGCAUAUCAUAAGACAGAAAAUACCGAUUUUCACAAGAACUUCUGAAGUACAAAUAACCAAAACUAUACGCCUAUUUAGCUUGUAGUACAUACGACAAUUGAACUAGUCCAUGGUGUUGUAAAUGAAACCUAAUAAAAAUAGAAACUGAACGUGCGUUACCGAUUGUUGAUGGAAAGCCUUUCCCGAGGCUUUCUCUCACAACGAAAACUGAUCAUAAGUUAUGUUCAAGAUACAAAAGGAAAGAUGUUCACUAUGCUGGACUCUAAUUUCACUUAGCACUUGGCAGUGCUGGACUUUGAAAGACUACAGUCCAGCUCUAAGAGAAAAUUCGUGAUAAGUUUUCUAUAGUUCCAAGUAAAUAUGUAAUGUAUAUAAUAUAUGUGUAUAUGUUAUAUGUAA